rnacentral:rRNA from 1 species
AGAUUGAACGCUGGCGGCAGGCCUAACACAUGCAAGUCGAGCGGUAACAUUUCUAGCUUGCUAGAAGAUGACGAGCGGCGGACGGGUGAGUAAUGCUUGGGGAUCUGCCCAGUCGAGGGGGAUAACAGUUGGAAACGACUGCUAAUACCGCAUACGCCCUACGGGGGAAAGCAGGGGACUUUUUAAGCCUUGCGCGAUUGGAUGAACCCAAGUGGGAUUAGCUAGUAGGUAAGGUAAAGGCUUACCUAGGCGACGAUCCCUAGCUGGUCUGAGAGGAUGAUCAGCCACACUGGAACUGAGACACGGUCCAGACUCCUACGGGAGGCAGCAGUGGGGAAUAUUGCACAAUGGGGGAAACCCUGAUGCAGCCAUGCCGCGUGUGUGAAGAAGGCCUUCGGGUUGUAAAGCACUUUCAGCGAGGAGGAAAGGGUGAUGGUUAAUACCCAUCAUCUGUGACGUUACUCGCAGAAGAAGCACCGGCUAACUUCGUGCCAGCAGCCGCGGUAAUACGAGGGGUGCAAGCGUUAAUCGGAAUUACUGGGCGUAAAGCGUACGCAGGCGGUUUGUUAAGCAAGAUGUGAAAGCCCCGGGCUCAACCUGGGAACAGCAUUUUGAACUGGCAARCUAGAGUCUUGUAGAGGGGGGUAGAAUUUCAGGUGUAGCGGUGAAAUGCGUAGAGAUCUGAAGGAAUACCGGUGGCGAAGGCGGCCCCCUGGACA